GACGAACGCUGGCGGCGUGCUUAACACAUGCAAGUCGAACGAAGUGGCGAACGGGUGAGUAACGCGUAAUCAACCUGCCCUUCAGAGGGGGACAACAGUUGGAAACGACUGCUAAUACCGCAUACUGAAGGAGGGGAUUGCGUCUGAUUAGCGAGCUGGAGGGGUAACGGCCGACCAGGGCGAUGAUCAGUAGCGGGUGUGAGAGGAUGAACGGCCAAAUCGGGACUGAGACACGGCCCAGACUCCUACGGGAGGCAGCAGGGGGGAAUCUUCCGAAAUGGACGAAAGUCUGACGGAGCAACGCCGCGUGAGUGAUGACGGCCUUCGGGUUGUAAAGCUCUGUUAAUCGGGACGCGGUACCGGAAUAGAAAGCCACGGCUAACUACGUGCCAGCAGCCGCGGUAAUUC
rnacentral:rRNA from 1 species